GGGACGGGGGAGGGGAGGAGGAAGAGGGUGGAAAUCAGUCGGCGCUGGGAGAGGUGCGGAAGUUUGGCGGCGCAUCUCAUUGGCCCGCAGGGCUGCUUUCAUCAUUUCUCAGAAAAGUCAAUUUCAUUUUCACUUCCUUUCAACCUGCAACUGCAACACACUGGAGGGGGAGGGAAAUCGAGAGGUUUCCACUGAGGCCACAGCCGAGAAGCUGCGGCAGAAACCACCCGGCAUCUCACUCCCUAGCUGAAGUGACAAGCUCAUUUUACCAAUGAGGAAACUGAGGCAGAAGGUUAAGUGACUUGUCCAGGGGCACAGGAGUGACCGUCUCAGACCACCAGAUUUGAACUCAGGAAGAUGAGUCUUCCCGACCCCUAGGCACCUUUUCACUUCUAACGCUGAUUCUCCUUUCAUGGUUUGCAGUCGUAUGGAAACGCCUGAAGGAUUUUGAUGUUGAGAUGGUGGGGUUUUUGUAGUCUUGGGUAGUUUGGAAUCGUUGGAAGCACCUUGCAAUUCGAGGAGGCAGCCCUGAGCACUGACUCUGAUGUCAGAGGAUCUGGUUUCACAUUCUGUGAUGCUAAUUACCUGUGUGAACUUGGGCAAAUCACUUAACCUCCCUAGGCCUAAAUUUCUUCCUCUGAACAACGGGGAUAAUAGCUCCAAUCUCACAGGGUUGUUGUGAGCAUAAAAUAACAUAUGCAAAGUGCUUUGCAAUCCUUAAGAUACUAUAUAAAUGCUAGCAAUGUAUUAUUAUUGCCCAUUACUGGAGUAAUAUGAUGGGCUACUGACCUAGAUGCAAAACACAGCUUGGGCAGUUUUUUCUGCCAUCUGUUCCCCCAAUGUGGAUGGUAAGACCAAAUUUUUUUUUACAUUCCUGUUAAUUUUACUGACAAUGACUUUGUAAUGUUCCAGAUCUCAAUAGAAUUUGCAAUGCAAAUAGGAGGAUUUGAAGAAUUUCUCCAUCAACACAGAAUCCUGUUUAGGACAAACAAUAGUAAUAAUUAUAAUAGCUCACAUUCAUGUAGAGCGCUUUGAGGUUUGCAACAUGUUUUAUUCCAUUAUUUCAUUUGAUCAUCUCAGAAACCCUGUGAAAAAGAUGUUAUUAUCCACAUUUUACAAAUGAGGAGACUGAGGCUGAGAGGAGUUAAAUGACUUUCUCGCAUUCACACAGCUAGGAAGUAUCUGAGUCAGAAUUUGAACUGACUCCAAAGCAAGAACUUUUCACGUAUGAUGCCAUGCUCCAAGACACCGGCAAACAGUGUAGAUAAACAUGCUUCUCCCUCUUUGAUACAUCACUUGAUCUUGAUAUUAGGUGAAUCAUUGAACAAAGUCAUCUUUGUAGUUAUAUGUAUCACAGAGAUUUUUUUAUGAUUAUGAUGUACCCAUGGGAGGUACCUUAUCUAGUCAGAGCCUUCAAGACUGUGUUUUCUUUGCUGAGUCAAAUGCUUUCUUAAAAUUGAUUAAUAAAAAACCUGUGGGAUCUUUUAUCCUCUAUAUCAGCCUAUUGUGUAAUUGUAAAGAUGUUAAUUAACUGCUGUAGAAAAUUGUUCACAAAAGUCUGUGCCUUUCUAAUGUUUUCAUUGAGAAUACUCUUGGGGUGGGGAACCUUCAGGCUUGAGGCCACAUUUGGCCUCCUGGGUUGUCAAGUUCGGCCCUUUGACUGAAUCCAAACUUCACAGAAAAAAAAAUUUCAUUCUUACGAAGAUUUUAUAGAGGUGAAGGAAUGGAAUAGUCACUGUUGAAAUGGUACAGCCAGUCUGGAUCUCAGUAUGGAAUUAUACCAAAAAAAUAGUUAAAUUGUCCAUAUCCUUUGUCCUAGCAGUCCCACAAUCAGUCGUAUACCUGGAAGAAGUCAAAGACAGAAAGCUCCAGUAUACACCAAAAUAUUCCUAAUAGCACUCUUUGUAGUAGCAAAGAUCUAAAAACAAAGUGGGUGCCCACAGAUUGGGAGAAUAGUUGGGAGGGGAAGAGACCUAUGGUAUAUGAUGUUAUAGAAUAUUGUUGUGCAGCAAGAAAUGAUGAAUAGGAAGAAUUCAGAGAAACAUGGAAGAGUUUUCAUGAACUGAUACAGAUUGAAAUAAGCAGAACCAAGAGGCCAAUGUAUACAAUGACUUGUAAAAUGUAAAUGAAAAGAUCAUUGAAAAAAAAGUUUAAGUCUGAGUAGAAGAAAAACCUGUGAAGGUCUCAAGGAACAGAAGAGAUCUAUCUCCCCUUCACAUCUGAGAAGCAGGAGACUACUGGGUCAGAAUAUUAUCUAUCUUAUUAGAUGUGAUCACUGGACUGAAUGUCCUUGAUUUGUUGUUUUUUUGUCACAAGGCUCAAACUGAGAGGGGGUAGGAAAGGGGUUGAAAUGACUGCAAUAAGGUGAUAAAAACAAAAAAUUAAGAAAUGACUACAAUGUGAAGACAAAAGACAUCAAAAUAUUUUUCAACGAAUAAAAGGAAAAACAAUGGCAGGAAUUGGGAGGGAAAGGAAAGGUUUUAUAAAAAUGAGAAGUUAGCCUACUCAGUUCCCUUAUUUUGUCAUUAAAAGUACUGUCUGUGAUCUUAAGUUUCUUUCGGAAUCGUUAUUUUCCCUUUUUGAGGUAUCUUGAGAACUGAUCCCAGAAUAAUUUUAAAAUUAAAUCAUCUCAGCCCAGAUUUCUUCUCUAUAUAUUUGAUCUGGAUUUAGCUGUUCAUCCUGAUUUCAUGUUCUUAAAUUACCAUUGCUACUAAAGUGGUAGGGUACAACUGUGUUAAUUAUAUUACCAUUGCCUAUGAGAGAAGAUUGCCUAAAUAGGAGUUAUCACUAUUAAAGUGCCAAAAAUCUG